GUUGGAACAAGGAGAUCCAUGAUGCUGCUAAAAUGGCAGUUAGCAGAUUUUGGAUCUAUGGCAGUAUUCCAUUCUUCACAGCCAGGUCACCUUAUUGGCAAGAAAUGGUUGAUGCCCUUACCAUUUGUGGGGCGGGGUUCAAAGCCCCUUCUGAGUUUGAUUUGAGGGGACCCAUUUUGACUGAAUUGGUGAAUGAUGUGAAGAAAGAAUUGGGUGAUCAACGCCAAAUAUGGAGCACUAAAGGUUGCACCAUCAUGACUGAUGGUUGGACAGAUAGGAGAAAUAGAACUCUCCUUAAUUUUCUUGUUUCUUCCGCAGGUGAUUGAUUAAUUUUAGUUUCAUUUAGGCAUUAAUUUUUUAUUUUUCAUUUAAUGAUUUAUUGAAUGAUCAUUGAUCUUGCUUUAUUUUUUUAUUUCAGGGGGCACCAUUUUCAUCAAGUCUAUUGAUGCCUCCGCCCAUUGCAAGAAUGCCACCUACCUAUGUGAGCAGAUAGAGGAGGUGAUUAAUGAGGUGGGUGAAGAGAACGUGGUACAGGUGGUGACUGACAAUGCACCAAAUUAUGUUGCUGCAGGCAGACUAUUGAUGGAGAGGCGCCCAUCUAUAGUUUGGACUCCAUGUGCCGCCCAUUGCAUUGACCUCAUGUUAGAGGAUAUUGGAAAAAUUCCAUGGGUCAAGACAUGUGUAGAAAAGGCAAGAAAUGUGUGCAAAUUUGUAUAUAAUCAUUCAUGGGUGUUGGCUCUUAUGAGACAAUACACAGAGCAUAAGGAGUUAGCUCGUCCAGGAAUCACAAGAUUUGCCACAAACUUCAUCACAUUGCAGUCCAUGCUUCGUUGUAAGAUGGCCUUGAGACGUAUGAUUGUUGGUGAGGAGUGGUCUUCCUCAUCCUAUGCUACCACCCCAGCAGGGAAAGAUAUGGCAGACUGCAUUUUUGAUGAGCGAGGCUUUUGGAGCCCUUGUGAUGAGAUAGUGAAGGUAAUUUUUUUAUAAAUUCUACAAUUUUUAUUUAACUUU